CCCUGAUGUUAGCGGCGGACGGGUGAGUAACACGUGGGUAACCUGCCUGUAAGACUGGGAUAACUCCGGGAAACCGGGGCUAAUACCGGAUGCUUGUUUGAACCGCAUGGUUCARACAUAAAAGGUGGCUUCGGCUACCACUUACAGAUGGACCCGCGGCGCAUUAGCUAGUUGGUGAGGUAACGGCUCACCAAGGCGACGAUGCGUAGCCGACCUGAGAGGGUGAUCGGCCACACUGGGACUGAGACACGGCCCAGACUCCUACGGGAGGCAGCAGUAGGGAAUCUUCCGCAAUGGACGAAAGUCUGACGGAGCAACGCCGCGUGAGUGAUGAAGGUUUUCGGAUCGUAAAGCUCUGUUGUUAGGGAAGAACAAGUGCCGUUCAAAUAGGGCGGCACCUUGACGGUACCUAACCAGAAAGCCACGGCUAACUACGUGCCAGCAGCCGCGGUAAUACGUAGGUGGCAAGCGUUGUCCGGAAUUAUUGGGCGUAAAGGGCUCGCAGGCGGUUUCUUAAGUCUGAUGUGAAAGCCCCCGGCUCAACCGGGGAGGGUCAUUGGAAACUGGGGAACUUGAGUGCAGAAGAGGAGAGUGGAAUUCCACGUGUAGCG
rnacentral:rRNA from 1 species